GAUCAGGACAUAACGACACAGCACACCGGAGAAGCUCAAGCGCGCUCGUGGCUACCCCGUAACCGCGCGCACAAGCUCGUUCACACGUCCCGGUGCCCUCAGUGGAGUUGAAGCUGGUUAGUUUGGGCAUGUUGUAUCUGCUGCGGUACACAGCGGACGUGAUUCCGGACUGCACCUGCUACACCUAAAGACUUUGUGUUUAUUUUCUGUCUCUUUUUUUUUUUUUUAAGACGAAGCUGUUUAUACAAAGCAAGUCAUGAUGCGAGCUGGAAUAGAGCCUAAUUAGUGGACUCGAAGCAGGUGCUCUGUCAAAUCGGACAGAAAAGGAUUCUGCGGCGGGACGGCUGACCCGCUGAGCUUCAGAAAGCAACAAGAAGUCGAUCUGUGUUUGGACAGAAGAGUGGAAAGCAGCCUUGAACGAAUCGAUUUGGUCCUGCUGAGGUCAUACAAGAUACAGAUCUCCCCUCCCACCGCUCUCUGUUUACCACCUGACUACCAUCGCACAGAGACAAACUCUUGGCUGUGUGGGCAUGAAGCAUAAAGUGUGGUUCUGUCAGGGCAGUCAGAGGGGAAAACACUAACCGGGGCAAACGGCGGCCUUCCAGGAGUCACGUCAUUCCAGCGUUCGCUCAGAGGGAGUGAAAACGGAAAGUGUUUACCCAUCCUUGCUGGAAACCUGGAUGGCUGUGUGGAAAGAGGCACAGAGAGGUUAUAUAAACGCCAGCUGAACCAUCUAAGCAGGCUGAAAAGGAGGAAGCAGGAAGCAGCUGAUGCUAUCACUGGUAGUGAUUUUUGAGUGUCUAUGAAUGCCUUUUUUUUGUUUUUGUGUCACUUCCUGGGAGAGAAUGGAAGUGGAAGUGGAGUGACUGUGUGAAGGGAAUGAUGCUUCCACUGUGGGCUUUUUAUACAGGCAUACUCACACAGACUUAUUUGAAGCGUAGGACGUACUUGUGUGUGCGUCUGUGCGUGUGUGUGUGGUGUGUGUGUGUGUGUGUGUGUGUGUGUGUGUGUGUGUGUGUGUGUGUGUGUGUGUGUGUGUGUGUGUGUGUGUGUGUGUGUGUGUGUGUGUGUGUGUGUGUGUGUGUGUAUGCGUGUGUAUGCGUGUGUGUGUGUGUGUGUGUGUGUGUGUGUGUGUGUGUGUGUGUGUGUGUGUGUAUGUGUAUGUGUGUGUGUGUGUUGGGGGAAGGGUUGUGCAUAUUUGCAUUUUCUCAAACUUCUCUAAUUUACCAUUGAAAUACUGCCCUCUUGUGUUUACACACAGAACUGCACACCAGCUUUUUUAUACAGAAGUGGCAUAUUAUGUGGCACCAAAUAAUUAUUUCUAGAUUUUUGCAUUUGCAUUGAUAUCGACUGCAUUUACUUUGUAGUUGCUCAGUAUUUUAUAAUACUUGAUUAUAAUACCUACCAUUAUGAUUAACUUAGAGUGAUUUGAGGUCAGAGUUGGAGUGAAACUGAAGGUGGCACAACGUAUUUCAGUGCCAAACCUGUGGUCAUAAACAAUCAACAGAUUUAACCAUGCAUCUGUUUGACAGUUUAAACCAGAGGAGACAACACCUAUGGUACACCCAUAGCAGGAUGAGUCCACAAUAACUCUCCUCGUGACAGAAUCUGAUUUAUCAACUGAUUAUUUACCCACUAAUUUAUCCACCAGAAGUGUAUUCUUUAUGUAGUGAGUGUGGCAUCGUUCCACAAUCUCAAUAAAGAAUGCAGUCACAAAUGAAAUCAUCCCAGGACUCAUCAAGCUUUCAACACACUUAGUAUUGUUUGUUUUGACUCUUCUCUGUCUGUAUAUUGUAAGGAUUUAUAAUCUGAAGUCAGCCUAGAAGAGAACGGAUGGCUUUUUGUGUCUGCUUUCUCUCAAGGUUUUUUUCUUUCGUGAUUUGUCAGUUGAGAUUUCAGUGAUUGGAAGAGAAUUAUAUAACGAGCGCAGCAUACGAUGUAAAAUAGUCGUAUUGCAGAUAUCGCAAAAAUUCAGAAAUGCUUGCACACCACAGUGACCUAGUUUCCCACACGAAGACUUAGAAAAUGGAGAAAAAUGUGUCUCCUUGUUCCACUGGGCUUGUUUCAGGUCUUUUCGUGGGUUUUUUGAGAUGUAAACAGGUUUUGGCAUAAAACCUGCUUUGAAAAAUCGACACUGCCAAAGCAGAGUCUGAGCUGGUUAAAGCCGCUCAAACUGAUGGGAAGUUUUUUCCCCAUUUAUGAUUACAUACACAUCAAACAGAAGGCUAGCGAGUUCACCAACCGCCGAUUAAAGUUCAGGUGAGUACACGGCCCUGAUUGUCUCUUUUAAACCGUUUAGUGAACCCGUGACUCUGUGACUCAUAUUUUCUGACUCCUAGCAUUCGCCCUCGAAAAGGUCCUAACGUCAUCCUCCCACGGCUGUAAGUCAUGCAGUGAUUUUUUUAGAGCCUAUUUUCGCACGGAUAAACAGAGAACACAAUGCAUGAAGCCUGCUCUUCAACUCGCAUCACUGGCCAUGCAAGGUUCUUCCGUCAUCAUGACAGAAUCUAGUUUGGCAGACUUGCCAGUCACUGUACUGGCCUCGUUUGUUUUAACAGGAGCAGCCGCUUCCUUUUAAAACCGAACCAUCUGUUUUUACAGCGUUUUCUCCUUUUCCCUUGUUUUCCUGUUCUUUUUCAGCAUGUACACUUCCACACAGCUUGAUGGAGUGCCCGAGGGUGAAUCUUCUCCCGGAUGCUGGUUUCACAUGGUGGUUUAGAUGUGUUUAACCCAGUGUCUAGCACCAUUUGAAAUCAGUGUUCCUGAAGAGGAACGGCAGCUGUGGAGUAGCAAAUGAAACCACACGGGCUACACGAGCGAACUCACUAAUCACGUCAGCUCCAGAAUCUUUAGAACAGUAACCUUCAUUCGUACUAAAGGGUAACAAACUGACAAGUGGCUAUUUAUUUUCUAUUUGCAUGUGCAACACUGGGCUGAGAUUGUAGCUACAGCUGUAAGUAACAAUGCUAUGCAGUGGAACUGAGAUUUUUUUAACUUUCAAUUCUAUGUAGUAGAUUCUGUAAAAUGACAGAUUCAUACGCUUUGUUUGGACAAACCCUCUGACCCUUCCUGGGGCACUUGCAGUCCGACAUUUCUUCGAUUCCCCACUGACCGCUCUAGAUCCUGCAAUUAGUUCCCAUUUAUUGUUUGACCAUGGUUUCAUCUUUCCCUGCCAUACAAAACCUUUUAUUAAAUGUGUCGAGAGACAUUAGGAAGAAAAAUAAAGUAAGGAAUGAAUCUGGUGUGUGUGUGUGUGUGUGUGUGUGUGUGUGUGUGUGU